CCUGGGUUCAAUCUCCAAUACAAAAUAAUACUAAUAAUAAUAAUAAUAAUAAUAAUAAUACAAUGAGGACUACUUCCAGCUAAGAGCUUUUGAGAUAUUUAUUAAUAGGGAAUCACUAGACCGACUCUCACAGCUGGAACUCAGCAGGACUACUUAUGAAGAGUAUUCCAACCCCAAGAAACACUUCACUGGAGCAUUUGGCUAAUGGAAUCAGGGAUAAAUAAAACAAAGGGCACUUGCUAUCACAAGUUCUACGUCAGCCUCUGCAACUUAGGGAGAUCCUGUCUCAAAAUAAAAAAUAAAGGCUAGUGAGUUAGCUCAAUGGUAGGAUGCCCCUGGGUUCAGUCCCCAGUACCAAAAAGUUUUUUAAAUCACAGCAAAUGCCGGGUACUAUGUGGACCACUAUGUGGACUAUUGUAUGGAACCUAAGUUUCCUCAGGCCUCACCUGAUGACAUAUAACCCAUAUUUUGUUAGCUCUUCCCCCAUCUUCUAACCUAGGUCUCUGACCUCUUGCAAAACUUCAGCCAGUUAUUUCUGGGUAUGUCUGAGAAGAGGUAAGGUUUGUUAUCUCCACCCCAGUGGUCUAUGCCAGGUUAGUGGUUGGACCCCAGGCACUGACUCUGAUGCUGGGAAAUCUGAGGCUCCAUAGUCCUCAAGAACCUGAAGCUCUUCAGUGUCAGGCACCACUUAGACAUAACACACUCACAGGGUGGCCAACUCUGUCUCCAUUUUAAUGUUGAAAGUCCUGCAUUCAGGAAACCCCUCAGUCCUAGGCAAACCAGGAUGGCUGCCCAUCCUACACCUUCUUCACAGCCUUCCUCCCCUGUAGUCCUAUGUGGAAGUCCCACAGUGUCUCCUAGGCUCUGCAGGUCUAGAUCUUGUAGAAUUUAUAUCUGGGCAAGUAGCCCUUCCAGUUCUGUCCACAGACUUCCUCUUGGGGACUCAGACUCACACCCACACCAUGGCAGGACACAGAGAUACCAGAGCUGGGCUGGCUUCCCCAUUCUCCUGCCUCAUACAAGAUACAUGCUUCUUCUCACUCUUUCUGCCAUCCCCCCAUAGCACAGGCUGCAUAGAAACCUCUGUGUCUAAAUCUCCCCAAAGCCCUGCAAGCUUGACAUUAUUGU
rnacentral:lncRNA from 1 species